rnacentral:lncRNA from 1 species
UGCCGUGCGUGCGGGGCGGCGUGAGUAGUGGUGUGCGCGCGUGUGCCCCGCGUGUGCGUGAGAGAAAGUGAGAUCAUUGUGUUGUUUAUUAAUAAUUUGGCCUGUAAUGUUGGUCUUCCAUAUUGCUUUACUAUUGAUAUAAAUGCAUCGCGUGUUCACACAGGCGUACCGUACCGUACCGUAUAUGCCUUACAAGCAAGUUUAAUUGACGGCACGGAUUUGAUACGUGAUAUUGAUAAGUUCUCAGGCUCAGUCAAUCUAACUCUCAGUUAAUUAAGGUGUCUAACGCCAAUGCCGCAUGUAAUCGUACACCGCAGAACCAUAGAUAGAAGAAGGUUCUCUAUCUAAUGGUCUGGUAACCGCCUUUGGUAACUAGAGUCCCUUCUAUAUAAAGGAACUCUAGGUAACGUGUGCUCGCUGCGCUACCUGGUGGCGGCAAGGUACGGCUGGCGGGAUGAUAGGAAUUACUGAUAGCGUAAACAGAUCUAUUCUAUAACCGAGAUCAGGCCCGUAGGAAGGUAUAUGACAUUGGGGUGGCAAUGGGUUAUAGACGUGCUAGCCAGUCUGCGAGACCCGUAGCGCCCAGAUUGGGGAGAUAGUCUGGAAAGAAUAGAAAAUUUUUGAAUUUUCAAUAUUGAAAUGAUGCUUUCUCGUGCACACUGGCAUUGCAAAUUGCAAUUGCAAAUUGCAAUUGUAAAUUGAUAGUGGCUGUGUAUUAAUAACUUAAACAAAUGUCUGGAAAUUAUUGGGGGGCAGGCGCCCCCCCCAGUUCCUACGGGCCUGACGGAAAUGGAGAAUAUUCUGCUCGUAGUAGAACCUAGUGGCAAUUUGUUUCCGAUUGAACUUGUUGAGGUUUUCUCCCAAUGAAUGACUGAUAUAAUUCUCUGAAUGUUUCUUGGAUCGAAACGAUCCGUAUCAAUGCAUACGAAUGAUGUGAUGAGGAAAUGGAUACUUUCGUUGAAGUUUAUUUAUUACAACGAUCAACACUGCCACCGUAUUUUGGGAUGAUCGACCUUUUACUUUUUUGCCAUCCAGUCGGUGUAUGAUAAAGGACGAUGGAGUGGCUAUUAUAUGGAAGUAAUUUGUUUGCAAAUACUUACUUAUUGAUUUGUUUAAAGGUGCAAACACUUAGGAGGACCGGGUGCGUGCGCUAGUGACAACUGGCUCAUUGAACUCUUAUUAUGUAUUUUGUACUUUAAUUCCUGCGUAUUGUUUUGUCACUUUUCGGUAACAGGGGUAAGACCCUGCGAGUAGUUUUUUGCACCUUUGCAAAAAAAUGCACCACAAUUAUGUUCGCCUGUAGUAGCAAAGACGACAACCAUAAACAUGUGCAACUCUGAACUACUAGUUGUUAAUCUAUUUUUGAUAGUAGCGAUGUUCCUUUUGUUGGUAUUUGGUGUGUGUGUGCAGUAGCGGAAGUAUCGUCGUGAUAUAGCUCUGUAGCCAUGUUGUUCAAAAUAAGUCGGUGCGCACGAUUCAUGUAUGCCCUAACUAGACAUUAUAAAAUGAUAAAUAUUUAAUUAGACGAGCAUAUAUUAUUUGCUUGGCAUUCCUCCGAAUACCAUCCAUGUGAUGUGGUGUGUAUAUAUAUAUAUAUCUAUAUUAUAUAUAUAUAUGUAUGACAGGCUUUGAUCUGAAUAAAAUUUGACCAAAUGAUGAGCAUGAAUA